AGCGAACGCUGGCGGCAGGCCUAACACAUGCAAGUCGAACGAAGUCUUCGGACUUAGUGGCGGACGGGUGAGUAACACGUGGGAACGUGCCUUUAGGUUCGGAAUAACUCAGGGAAACUUGUGCUAAUACCGAAUGUGCCCUUCGGGGGAAAGAUUUAUCGCCUUUAGAGCGGCCCGCGUCGGAUUAGCUAGUUGGUGAGGUAAAGGCUCACCAAGGCGACGAUCAGUAGCUGGUCUGAGAGGAUGAUCAGCCACAUUGGGACUGAGACACGGCCCAAACUCCUACGGGAGGCAGCAGUGGGGAAUCUUGCGCAAUGGGCGAAAGCCUGACGCAGCCAUGCCGCGUGAAUGAUGAAGGUCUUAGGAUUGUAAAAUUCUUUCACCGGGGACGAUAAUGACGGUACCCGGAGAAGAAGCCCCGGCUAACUUCGUGCCAGCCGCCGCGGUAAAAC
rnacentral:rRNA from 1 species